rnacentral:rRNA from 1 species
UGCGUGAGGUGGCAAGCGUUGUCCGGAUUUACUGGGCGUAAAGAGCGCGCAGGCGGUCGAUCAAGUCGCGUGUGAAAGCCCCCGGCUCAACUGGGGAGGGUCACGCGAUACUGAUCGACUCGAAGGCAGGAGAGGGUAGUGGAAUUCCCGGUGUAGUGGUGAAAUGCGUAGAUAUCGGAAGGAACAUCAGUGGCGAAAGCGGCCUGCUGGGCAGUGGGGGAGACCCCUUCGAAGCUGACACUGAGGCGCGACAGCGUGGGGGAGCAAACAGGG